UGAAGAAUUCAUUAUGGAGGCAGAAAAGAAUUGUACACCAUGGAUUGUUCUUCAGAGAAUAUGUCUGGACUUAUGAAGAAGGGCCAGAUGGUAGAGGGAAAUGGGAAUAGAAAAGAAUGCCUGACCUGUAAAACCUUCUAGUCAUGGAAGUCAUGAUAGUAGGGGAAGUCAUUGGACAGUCAAUGAUUGUUCCUGAGUGCAGGAUUAGUGGGAAUUUGUGUUUUGACGGAUGGGGAAAAAGGGAAAAGAGCCCUUUCCCCAUAAUUAAAACUUGCUUUCUAGUAUAAUGGGUUAGGUGUCUGUUUGUAAUAAAGGUUGUUUAUUGUGUAGUCAGG